CAAAGGUGAGAAAUAACAGACCUCAACCCUAUUGUCCCUCUGCAAAUUUGUGUACACAGAGUCAGUCCCUUACCUCUCUCUAAAAGUGCAAAGUUUCAUUAAGAUCAAUUAAUAGAAGCUUGUUGGGGACGGAAUAGAUCUGGACAAGGACAAGAAGUCUGGAAAUAAAUGUGAGAAAGGAGGGACAGGCACUUGUUUUGUUAAAAUAUUAUAU